rnacentral:rRNA from 1 species
GACGAACGCUGGCGGCGUGCUUAACACAUGCAAGUCGAACGGAAAGGCCCUGCUUUUGUGGGGUGCUCGAGUGGCGAACGGGUGAGUAACACGUGAGUAACCUGCCCUUGACUUUGGGAUAACUUCAGGAAACUGGGGCUAAUACCGGAUAGGAGCUCCUGCUGCAUGGUGGGGGUUGGAAAGUUUCGGCGGUUGGGGAUGGACUCGCGGCUUAUCAGCUUGGUGGUGGGGUAGUGGCUUACCAAGGCUUUGACGGGUAGCCGGCCUGAGAGGGUGACCGGCCACAUUGGGACUGAGAUACGGCCCAGACUCCUACGGGAGGCAGCAGUGGGGAAUAUUGCACAAUGGGCGGAAGCCUGACGCAGCAACGCCGCGUGCGGGAUGACGGCCUUCGGGUUGUAAACCGCUUUCGCCUGUGACGAAGCGUGAGUGACGGUAAUGGGUAAAGAAGCACCGGCUAACUACGUG